rnacentral:lncRNA from 1 species
CUCGUGCAAGGUGCUAGGGUCCACCAUGUGAGGUUUGUCCACACAAGCAAAAGGUGGGCAGGAGAGUUUUUGAAUAAAAAAUUGGAUGUGCCAGAGCUCACGAAUUGGAUGUGCCAGAGCCCACGACGUCGUCAAAAUAAGACGCGUUAGAGCCCACGAUUCUUGACAUCAGCAUGGUGAUUUAAAUGCUUUUUAAUAAUAAAAUGGUAGACGCGCCAGAGCCCAC